rnacentral:snRNA from 1 species
GUGCUUGCUUCAGCAGCACAUAUACUAAAAUUGGAACAAUACAGAGAAUAUUAGCAUGGCCCCUGCACAAGGAUGAUACGCAAAUUCAGGAAGCGUUCCAAAUUUUU